UACGGAGGGUGCAAGCGUUGUUCGGAAUCACUGGGCGUAAAGGGCGUGUAGGCGGUCCGCUAAGUCUGAUGUGAAAGCCCGAGGCUUACCCUCGGAAGUGCAUUGGAGACUGGCGGACUUGAGUCCCGGAGAGGAGGGUGGAAUUCCUGGUGUAGCGGUGAAAUGCGUAGAUAUCAGGAGGAACACCGGUGGCGAAGGCGGCUCUCUGGACGGUGACUGACGCUGAGACGCGAAAGCGUGGGGAGCAAACAGG
rnacentral:rRNA from 1 species